UUCAUGGGGACCCUUUUUGACGCGUUUUGGCCUCCAAAUUGAGGAAACCUGGUUACGAAGUGAUUCUAAUACCUAUAUUUUGUGGAAGAUAUAUAAGAAUACCCUCAAGACUCAUAGAAGAGAAGGAGAACAAGAAGCUAGGGCUUGAAGUUGCGAUUGAUCAUCACAAUUUCUAGGGUUUGCUUUAUUUGCUUUUAUUUAUAUUUUCCAGUGAUUUUGAGAAAUCCAUGAGUAACUACACAUUCCUUAUUGGUUAGAGAUGUAGUCCUGAAUUUGAAGACGUGUUUAUCGAAAAAGGGAUAUUUUCGUGCGUCGGAUCUUUGAUUUCCCGAUUUUGCUUCGCUUAUGUUAAUAUACUGGGGUUUCCUAAAACGUUUCGUCAUAUAACUAUUACAACUUUAGGUUUUAAAAAAAAUCGAAUCUUCUUCGUGUGAUCUUCUUCUUCUCAAGAUCCCAUUAUUGCAAUAAAUCAAUCCUAAUAUUGUUGUAUACUAUCCAUCUUUCUCUUGGUUUUUUGCUGCCUCCCCAAUAUGGAAAACCAUUAAAGACAUGAAGAUUCUUGGUCAAACAACUCAAUUUGAAGAUAGGUUGUUCACACUGCAGUGCAGGGUAAUAAAAGCAUAUUAGAUUAAUGAGGGUAAGUACAGCUGCAAACUUGGAGCCCUUAAGCAUGUGUACAACUGUGAGGUGUUGCUUCAAAAAAGAAAAAAGAAAACAACGUGGUUCUAGGGUUUUUGUGGGAAGGGAAAUAAGGGUUUUUGUUUAUAGGGUUCAUAGGAGCGUAAGCCCUGUAGUUACUGUAACAUCUAUAAAGCAAAUUAAAAAUUUACAUAUCGUUUAAAUUUGGUUUCGUUCGUCUAUUAUGUAACAGCAUAGAGUGGUUUGUACUGAUGAGCGUGUAGUUUGUAUGUAUGAGUGACUUGUGUUGAAUGCACGUGUGAGACAGAGAUAGAGAAUGUCGAGAGAAGUCGAGUAUAUAAACUCGUUGUCCCUGUAAUUCAGAACCAUCUUUUCUCUUAAUCAAUUGAUUACAAAUUGUAUUCAGUAAACAUGUAUACAUUCAUUAAUUGAAUUUUAUCAUGGUAUCAGACUCAGAAAUCAUGAAUUUCUGAGGGUAUCGAUCCAUAGCUUCCACUGUUCUUCGUCUCUGAUUCAUCUUCAAGAAGAUUUGUUCCUCAAUUUGAUAAGGUUUUCAAGAAGUGAAGAUUUACAAGAAUUGGUGAGGAGUUGGAUUUGAUCUUGAUGCUUAUUGCAACUUCGUCAAUUAGGAUUAGGCACGUUGUUGGAUCUAAAACUCGUUUUAUAACUUGAGCUCUUGGUGAUUUUGGAUUUCCAUUUGGUUGUUUGGAUAUGAAAUUUCUCUACCUCAACAGCUAAAACUCUCUGCUGGUAAUCUCCAUCUUAACCUUUAGAUUACUUUAGAUUUGGUCUAAUGUGUUUAAUUUCUACAUCACUAUCUCAACAAAAUUCAAUUUCGUCUGCCAAUUAUGUUUUUAUCAUAAGUUGGUAUGAUUUUGACCUAGUUCUUUUAUAAAAUCCUAUUGGUACUGAUUCCUGGAUCUAUUCGGUCUGAGCAUGCCUAUUUCUGUUGUAAUAGUUAGUUAGGAAGAAGCUUGAUGUUGUUCUAUUGAAUAGUGGGAAAAGAUUCUUCUUAAAUCCAGUAGAAUGCCGGGGUACGUGUAUGUGUGUUGGUUUUUUGCUGCAUCCUUGUAUGCUUAAUUUUGCUUCAGUUAGUUCCUCCUCUCAAUGUUACUUUGGUACAGUCCUCAUAGUAGUGGUAUGUGGGUGAGUUGGUUUGUGUGUGCAAUGAUGGAACUGGGGAUGCUGUUUCAGGAUUGAAAUUGGUGAGAUAUAUAAGUACAGAUUGAAGUUCUUUUUGAUGAGUCUAUAUUCAAUUCAGAUGUAGCCUGGUUUAGUUAUCUUUCCUUUCCUGUUUGUUAUCUGUGUGAUUGAAUAAUAAAGGUCCAGCUGAAAUCAUGUUGUGAGUACAUCAAUAAAAUUGGAAUAAUGUUGUGUGAGACUGCAGCUUCCGAGCUAAUGAUGUUAAGGAUUUGAAGUGAAUAUGUUUUGGAUGAGCUUUCAACUUAUUUCUGGUAGGAAUACAGUUACAGGCAGAAUUGUGCAUGGUCUCUUCACAGAAUCUUGUGUGAAGUCUUUCUCUACAGCAUACAAGGAUCUCAGUUCUUAUAUUUUUCUAUCCAUUGUUGUUGUCAAGUAUACUGUUUUUACUUCAUCUCAAGUGUUAUACCUCUGGUGUUCUGCUACAAUUGUAUUGGUCAUGAGUAUUCUGCUGAAGUUCAAGAUCUUGCUACAAAUAGUUCACUACUGUCAGCCUUGGUUUGCAUCUUACUUUCUAUUUGAUCAGAUUUCUCCUGCAACAUCUCAUUAUCACCUGUAUCAACUAUUAUCACCGAGUGGAUACACUAACUUCUCUCUAUAUUUUUAUUUUGGACUACUAUUGGUGUAUGAUGCAAGCUUGUUGUUUUUGAUCUCUUGUUGAUCUGGUGAGUGCUAUGUUAUUAUUACUUCAGAAUAUACAUUACAGGGGACUAUCGGGUUAUGAGUGACAUAAUGCAAUAAAUCUAUGAACUAUCUUGGUGUUUGCUGGGGAGUGUGUGAAAGAAGAUUGGUAUUUAUUUCUUAUUGACUACUGCAGGGAGAAGCAAAGGAAUUUUGCUGAGACAAAUUUUCCAAGUAUUCUACAUUCCAUCAGUUGUGCCAUAACAUUCAUCAAGGUUGGCCAGGCCUAUGAGCUCAACUACUCUACUUCCUCCUAUUCAUGCCCUGGUAUUGUGAAUAAAUUUGCGAGAGGUACUCUAUCCAGCAGACAAAGCUAUGGACUGUCCAGUUUUGGUUUAUAUAAGUCAUACUGAAUAUCUAUUGCUUCCCAAAUAUGCUGCUACGCCAAAUCUUACAGCUGCUCUAUAUGUCUACCAUAUGCGAGGGAAUUGAUACAAGUGUGGUGUUUGAUUGCUUAUUGGUGUUUUCGUUGGUUUCGAGCAUAGUUUUUACUAGAUUUCAGUUGGUUGUGAAGAAAAUCUGGUCACCAUAAUGGCAACAGUACAAUCUUGCCAGCAUAUUUGUUUAUCUAUGCGACAAGUUUUCGACAAUAUAUAUGGAGGUCAGCUUGUUUCAGCAAUACCUGGUACUAUCUCUCAACUGCAACUGCACCUAGAACUAUUCCUGCACUACUAUCUCAACUACUCCUACAACUACUUGUUUACCCCUGUUAUUUCUCAAGAUGUUGGUGCAACACCAAUUGCCAUGCUUGCUGACAAUGUCUAUCUUCAAAAUUAUCAUACGAGUGCAGAAGCCCAAGCUUCAUUGCUGCUGAGUCCAAUGCGCAGUUGGCGUUUCACAGGUGUUCUCAUAAUUGUUUCAUGUCAGAGACACCUUAUAUAUGCACCCACUGUUGCUGCUGCCUCUUGUACUACUCACAGUACUUCUACUUUUGGUAAUACCACAUACUACACCCCACUGCUACAUUAAAUGAAGGUCUAGAUUUGCUAUUACUACUGCUGUUAUUUUCUAUAAUAAUAUGUUUGUAUUGUCGACUGUGUAGUUUGUAUAUCUGCAAUCUCAAGUUGUCUUUUUACAUACCACUUGAGAUUGAGGGAGGGUAGUAGCAUAGAAUGGUUUGUACUGAUGAGCGUGUAGUUUGUAUGUGUGAGUGACUUGUGCUGAAUCCACGUGUGAGACAGAAAUAGAGAAUGCCGAGAGAAGUCGAGCAUAUAAACUCGUUGUCCCUGUAAUUCAGAACCAUUUUUCACUUAAUCAAUUGAUUACAAAUCGUA